GACGAACGCUGGCGGCGUGCUUAACACAUGCAAGUCGAACGGAAAGGCCCUGCUUUUGUGGGGUGCUCGAGUGGCGAACGGGUGAGUAACACGUGAGUAACCUGCCCUUGACUUUGGGAUAACUUCAGGAAACUGGGGCUAAUACCGGAUAGGAGCUCCUGCUGCAUGGUGGGGGUUGGAAAGUUUCGGCGGUUGGGGAUGGACUCGCGGCUUACCAGCUUGUUGGUGGGGUAGUGGCUUACCAAGGCUUUGACGGGUAGCCGGCCUGAGAGGGUGACCGGCCACAUUGGGACUGAGAUACGGCCCAGACUCCUACGGGAGGCAGCAGUGGGGAAUAUUGCACAAUGGGCGGAAGCCUGAUGCAGCAACGCCGCGUGCGGGAUGACGGCCUUCGGGUUGUAAACCGCUUUCGCCUGUGACGAAGCGUGAGUGACGGUAAUGGGUAAAGAAGCACCGGCUAACUACGU
rnacentral:rRNA from 1 species